rnacentral:tRNA from 1 species
ACUUUUAAAGGAUGGUAGUUAUUCCAUUGGUCUUAGGAGCCAAAAAAUUGGUGCAACUCCAAAUAAAAGUA